rnacentral:lncRNA from 1 species
GAGAAAUCUUUUAAGUGUUUGUGAUUCUUAAAGUUGUAUGCACUGAUUUGGUUAGAUUUCAUGGAGUCAUGUACCUCUGAAAUACAAAGAGAUGCUCGUUGCUUCUGUAAUGUUCUUAUGUUCUUAAUGUUCUGUUCUUGUUUUCAGUUGUAAGGAAUCUUUGAUUUCAGAGGGAACUGGAAGCAUUCAGAAGGAAGCUUUAUUGGAUGACGUAUUAGCAGAUGUACUAUGAAUUGCUGUGUGGGCUGUGUAGGUGUGCACAUGUCAAAUAAAAGUAAUUGCCUUAUGCUGAAAAAAAAAAAAAGAAAAGAAAAAGAAAAGAAAAGAAAAAUAUGAUCUGUUUCAACAUAAUUCCGUUAGUUGCCUUUAUUUGCAAUGUGUUCUUGUUCCACUUCAGGAGGUGCUGGUAGGAGAAAUAAACUCAUCACUCUUACUGGUGCCAAAUUUUCUAAAGCAGAACAUCCUCCUCUCUGGUUUGAGUGCAGUCUGUUGCAAUGAUUCUUCUGGAGCUACGUGCAAGAUUGCGGUGUAUCAGAAGUUAUCAACUGAUGAGCAACAUGACUUAUCAACACUAUAGUGGUUGUGCUUUGACAGCGCUGCUUCACAGAUCUGCCUGUUUGCAUUAUAGAAGUUUCAGUCUUCCAGUUGGAGAGGACUGACACAGAUAUUUAAGACACAUGCAGCUUAGGUGUAACACAUUCUGUUCUUUAUCUUUCCACUGGAAGAUAAACGUCCAUCAGUGACUCGUACACUCUGCACAGGGACGGAGCAAUAACUUUCCAUGGGAUCAUGAAAUCCUUUUAAAAUAAUACUUUGCCUACAAGUCCAAUGUACUUUGCUGGGACAGUUCUUUGCUGUCAGGGUGAGUCUCUGCAUUCCUGCUGAAUUCCUGGAUGCCUCAGACAUAAUGCCCUGGGACAUGAGAGGGAAGGGUGAGUUGGGAGGGAUUAUGUCAUGCUUCGCAGAGCUGCUGUGCUGCGGAAAGAAACAGGCCAGAUUUACCCG